CAGUAGCCGCGGUAAUACGAAGGGGGCUAGCGUCGUUCGGAAUUACUGGGCGUAAAGCGUGCGCAGGCGGUUCGCUAAGACAGAUGUGAAAUCCCCGGGCUUAACCUGGGAACUGCAUUUGUGACUGGCGGGCUAGAGUAUGGCAGAGGGGGGUAGAAUUCCACGUGUAGCAGUGAAAUGCGUAGAGAUGUGGAGGAAUACCGAUGGCGAAGGCAGCCCCCUGGGCCAAUACUGACGCUCUUGCACGAAAGCGUGGGGAGCAAACAGGAUUAGAUACCCGCGUAGUCCCUGUCUCUUAUAC
rnacentral:rRNA from 1 species